rnacentral:rRNA from 1 species
GCAUAUCAAUAAGCGGAGGAAAAGAAACCAACAGGGAUUGCCCCAGUAACGGCGAAGUGAAGCGGCAACAGCUCAGAUUUGGAAUCUGGCCCCUAGGGCCCGAGUUGUAAUCUGGAGAGGAUGUUUCUGGCGCGGCGCCUUCCGAGUUCCCUGGAACGGGACGCCGGAGAGGGUGAGAGCCCCGUACGGUUGGACGCCUAGCCUUUGUGAAGCUCCUUCGACGAGUCGAGUAGUUUGGGAAUGCUGCUCAAAAUGGGAGGUAAAUUUCUUCUAAAGCUAAAUACCGGCCAGAGACCGAUAGCGCACAAGUAGAGUGAUCGAAAGAUGAAAAGCACUUUGAAAAGAGGGUCAAACAGUACGUGAAAUUGUUGAAAGGGAAGCGCCCGUGGCCAGACUUGUACCCCGCGGACCAUCCAGCGCCCUCAGCGCCGGUGCACUCCGUGGGGCGCAGGCCAGCAUCGGUUUUCCCAGGGGGAUAAAGGCGGCGGGAACGUGGCUCCCUCGGGAGUGUUAUAGCCCGCCGCGCCAUGCCCCUGGGGGGACCGAGGACCGCGCUUCGGCAAGGAUGCUGGCGUAAUGGCCACCGGCGACCCGUCUUGAAACACGGACCAAGGAGUCAAGCAUUGGGGCGAGUGUCUGGGUGCCAAACCCGCACGCGAAAUGAAAGUGAACGCAGGUGAGAGCUUCGGCGCAUCAUCGACCGAUCCUGAUGUUCUCGGAUGGAUUUGAGUAAGAGCCUUACCGCUUGGACCCGAAAGAUGGUGAACUAUGCCUGUAUAGGGUGAAGCCAGAGGAAACUCUGGUGGAGGCUCGCAGCGGUUCUGACGUGCAAAUCGAUCGUCAAAUAUGGGCAUGGGGGCGAAAGACUAAUCGAACCAUCUAGUAGCUGGUAUC